rnacentral:rRNA from 1 species
UCCGUAGGUGAACCUGCGGAGGGAUCAUUACUGAGUGAGGGCCCUCCGGCCCGACCUCCAACCCUUUGUAACCCGACUCUGUUGCCUCGGGGGCGACCCUGCCUUCGGGCGGGGGCCCCCGGUGGUCCACUUAACACUGCAUCUUUGCGUCCGAGUCUGAUAUUUAAAUAAAUCAAAACUUUCAACAACGGAUCUCUUGGUUCUGGCAUCGAUGAAGAACGCAGCGAAAUGCGAUAAGUAAUGUGAAUUGCAGAAUUCAGUGAAUCAUCGAAUCUUUGAACGCACAUUGCGCCCCCUGGUAUUCCGGGGGGCAUGCCUGUUCGAGCGUCAUUACACCACUCAAGCCUGGCUUGGUAUUGGGCGCCGCGCCCGUUCGCGCGCCUCAAUGUUCUCCGGCUGAGCCGUCCGUCUCCAAGCGUUGUGGCACUUUAUGUUUCCGCUUCGGGGCACGGGGGGUUCGCGCCGUUAAACCAUUUUCACAAGGUUGACCUCGGAUCAGGUAGGGAUACCCGCUGAACUUAAGCAUAUCAAUAAGCGGAGGAA